UUUGCUGCAACCUUGCUCUUUUCCUCUUCCUUCUUCCAUUUGCUAGAUGAAAUUCUAUCCCUCUUCGUCUUCUUUCUCCAAAAUUCCCCAGUGUUUAUAGGUUGGGUUCGAAUAAUGGUGCUCUGGAAGAACCAAACUUAGUUCUUCUAUUAACCUAUGAGAUUUGCUCAAGUGAGAAUAAAUAGUAAAGAUCUAUUCGGAUAAAGUAUGGAGAAGUUGAAGAAAACUGGAAUUGUAAACUCAAGAACAGCUGUUACACAUACGUUUUUUCACCGAAAUAUUUUCUUUUUAUUGUUGUGAUAUUGUGCUUUUAGUCAUUGUGUCACUGAGAUUUUUC